GGCUGCUCUCAUAAGACUGGGCUAGAUGGAAGAUUGGUCUGAAUCCAGUGUCUGUUUUCAUAUUCUUUUAUUAACAGUCCUUCUCCUCGAAUCUCCCUCUGGCAGAGGUUUUAUGUAGCAGUGAGUGCAGGUCUGGCUCUCUCUAUCUGCCACUUACUGUGUUGAAGAGUUUCCCUUUUAAGCUCCUCCUUGAAGUAGAGGCCUGUUGCGGUGGGGCUUCCAGAGCUCAGAGUUGUUCCUGCAUCCUUCUCUCUCUAGUAUGAGGUUCAUCUACCCUGACAUAAGGGACACCUGCAGAUUUACCCCUUCAUGACUUUACAGUAGAUGUGGGCAAAUCCUGGUCUGUGGGCCGGAUCUGGUUCACCAGGGUUAGUCCCUGGUGGGCCAGCGCAGCUAUAUUUACUUGAAACUCCACAGGUACAGGUGGUUGCAGCUCCCUGUUGGCUGCUGAUCACCAUUGCAGCCGAUGGGAGCUGCUGAAAGUGGUGUCCUGGGCCACUCAGUUCCCAUUGCUCCCAUUCGCUGGAAACAGCGAUCUGCAUCCCAAUGGGAGCUGCAAUCGCCUGUACCUGCAGAGGCUUAGGUAAAUAUAGUGGCAGCAGUCUGCCAGAGGCUAACUCUGAUAAACUGCCCACCCGCCCACACACAUACACACUGUUGUGGUCAAAACAUAACACUUGCCGUUAAAGGAGCCUUGUUUUGAUAUGUAAUUCUGCCCAAGCUGGGUGAAAUCUCAUUUUACUUUUCUAGUUCCAGCAACACUCAGAGAUGUAGGGAAUAAUUUAAGCAUUGCAAGUCACUCAUUCUUCAUUAGAAUUUACAAAAAUCCAAAACCAAAAGGUGAGGGUCUGUCCAGAGAAGUAUAGUGUCAGAGAUUUUAUUGUGUACGUAUUGUCACAUCUCUUUCCACAGUUUUGGCAAGCCUGGCCUUCAGGAACCUCUUCUGCUCUAGUGCUAAAUCCCUCCUGAACAGAGAGAGUCAGUCAUGGCAAUAUGUGGUAGGUUAGCCAUUCAAAAUCUCCCCCGUAAGGCCCAGUGGCAGCUAGGCACCUCACACCUAUUGACCUUAAAUGAGAGUUCCACCCAUAACUGCCUUUUCUCCUUUUAAAGUCUCCCCACAGACAAACUUCUCCAAGGGAUAAGCCUGAAAUAUCACCAAAUCCUUCUCAACUGUGUGACCUAAAUCUAGACUCAGUAGAUCUCUGGAAGAAAAAGGUGAAAAUGUAAUAUUAGCUCCUGAUCUUGCUGUGUGAUGAACACAUCAUCCUAUAGUUGCUUAACUCAGCUCAUCAACCCACACAGACUCAAUUUAUUUGACAUUUCCUGUAUGAUUUCCUACAUACAGCUGCAUUAAUAGCAACGACAGACUUAGGCCCUCAUUCAGCAAAGUUCCACAGGGCAAGAAUAUGAAUUCGCCACUAAUCUUUAAGCAGCUACUCAGAAUGACAGCUAUGAAGUGAAUGAAAAUACUUCAACCACAACUGAGUGAGUGAAUGGGAGGAAGAGCCAUUGGAAAAAAAACCUUGCUUUCUAUUGGCUUAUUCAUGUGGCAAAAAGACCAGAGGCCUUUGCUAUGGAGGAAGAGACUUUUCUAAAGUUGUACAUCUGGUUUCUAAGUAACUUCUGGGGAAAAAAAAUAGUGAUGAACAUUUUGAAGUGAACAUGCCACCCAUAUUCUGACAGAAUCUGAAUAUUCUAAGGCUUGCUUUCUGUCAGCAGCACCUGUGCUCCUUUAUCAUCACUCAUGGCACACCAUCACAGCAUAAACAGGACAAAUGUGUUACACCAUAUACGCUACGUGAUCAUUUUGGGGGUUCUCUGAGACACCAUUCCAUGCAACAUCUUCUCUCAUGUCUUUCCCAGCCUGGACUGAUUCUAGUGAGGAGAACUGUAAGCCUUUUUUUCCCCUCAACAGAUUUGGGGUAGGACUGGCAUCACAUAGUUUCUGGCUUUCCUGCAUAGUCUUACAUGUCAGGUGGCAACAGGUAGCAUUUUUCUGAUUAGCAAUGUCUGAGGACAGACAGAGUGAGCAGAGUGCCAGUCAUAUCUUGGUCUCUGCAAAGACCUCAGACCAGUGUUUCUUAAACUGUGUUCUGGACGCGAGACAAAGAAAAACGGAAUUCAAAAUGGCCACCCUUAAAGGGGCAGGCAACUUUUUUUUCUGCUCAAUAA